rfam:Homo sapiens chromosome X, GRCh38 reference primary assembly.
GCCGGGCGUGGUGGUGCGCGCCUGUAAUCCCAGCUACUCGGGAGGCUGAGGCAGGAGAAUCACUUGAACCCGGGAGAUGGAGGUUGCAGUGAGCCAAGAUCGCACCACUGCACUCCAGCCUGGGCAACAGAGUGAAACUUUGUCUCAA